rnacentral:rRNA from 1 species
UACGUAGGUGGCAAGCGUUGUUCGGAAUUAUUGGGCGUAAAGGGCGCGUAGGCGGUUUGUUAAGUCAGCUGUGAAAGCCCGGGGCUCAACCCCGGAGGGUCAGCUGAUACUGGCAGACUAGAGUACAGAAGAGGUAACUGGAAUUCCCGGUGUAGUGGUGAAAUGCGUAGAUAUCGGGAGGAACACCAGUGGCGAAGGCGGCUUCCUGGCCUGUUCUUGACGCUGAGGCGCGAAAGCUAGGGGAGCAAACGGG